rnacentral:rRNA from 1 species
GACGUAGGGCGCGAGCGUUGUCCGGAUUUAUUGGGCGUAAAGAGCUCGUAGGCGGUCUGUCGCGUCGGCUGUGAAAACCUGGGGCUCAACCCCAGGCCUGCAGUCGAUACGGGCAGACUAGAGUCCGGCAGGGGAGACUGGAAUUCCUGGUGUAGCGGUGAAAUGCGCAGAUAUCAGGAGGAACACCGGUGGCGAAGGCGGGUCUCUGGGCCGGAACUGACGCUGAGGAGCGAAAGCGUGGGGAGCGAACAGG